rnacentral:misc_RNA from 1 species
AAAUUCAUCAACUGUUCUGAUGAUUCAAAUCAUCGGAAUGAGGUUGGAUUAUGGAGGUUUUUAAGUUGCUGGUCACUUUUGUAAUCAGCUCCUCUUGAAUAUAUAUAUUUGCUUGCCUACAAGCAACUAUUUAUCAACAUGAUAAACUUACUAUAAUAUGUUGAUGAAAGUUUGCUGCGCAAUAGUAAUGAC